GUUUGGUUUGGGGGUGACCUUUGCCGGCUCAGGUCAUUAACUGGUUGGACCAUCUCCUCAUCUGUUUCAGUGGGUCAGGGUGUAUUGUCAUUCCAAUCUCUGCAGAAUGGCUUUGGAUCUCCCCGGAAGAUCCUACGGUAUUAGGGGCUUGAAGCCAUCACCACAGCAUCAGUCACAAGCAUAAGGACCUGCAGAGCCACACCAUGUGCCAGUGAGAAUCCUGGGUCCCUCUGGAUUUUGCGCGGGACACCCUCCAAGGCAGCAGCAGAUAGCGUGGGUGGAAAGAAAAAGUACAGCACAGGAUAGAGGCAGGAUGCCUUUUUUUAAAUUAACAAGCAUUUAUUUUCUCUCCUUACUCUCCC